GACCUCUAACAUUAUGUAAAUGAGGCAAACCUCUCAACCUCGUGGAUUACUGAGUCAGAGAGCAGGACCCUGGUCCACAGACCCUCCACAUUACGAUCCCAUAAAAAUCCGGAGCUGGUUGCAACGCUUUAGAAGGUCUUAUAGUCCAAAUGCAUGUAUUGUUUUUGAUCCAAGUUUACUUUUUACUCGUUCGUUGAAUGUGACGUGGUCAAGGCAUCGGGAACGGGAAACACGGACGCGCCAAGGAGGUGAGAAGAAGGCCCAGAAAAGAAAAUGACGAGUGAAUGAACUGCUGUAUGGGGCCGCAGAAGAUUACCUGCAGAUGUAUGAAAACAUAAUGGGAUUAUACAUCAAAAAUAUGUAAUAAAGUAUUAAGAUAUUGUAAAAAUGUCGUCAUAUUCAUAAUCACUAUUGAACUUUAUUUAUUUUAAUACUGUGGGUUUUUAAACCUAAUUUUUGUGUAAUGUGAUAUAUUUACCCUUGUAAAACACCCACAUAUAUAUAUAUUUAUGGAUUAUAUGAAUUAUUUUUUUAUUUCAUUCAAAUAAUACUUCAUCCCAUCAUUACUUUGUGUGAACAAUAUUGUGGUUUGUAGGUUGUAAACUACAAUUUUAUUUUAUUUAGCUAACUAUGUACAACUGCAUGCUUUUGUGUACUGGCCAUUUGUUUUGUUUGUGUGAUGAAUUGGUUGUUGACAGAAAUUAUACUUCAACCAAGUCAAAUCAAUAAAAUAUGAAAUGUGUAAUAUUUAAAACCUUGCUCGAGGCCAUGUGCGGUCUCCUAUGUUGACUUUGACAUGCUGAUCAGGGUUAAAACAGAAAUAUUUCUGUUCAUGAAGUUAAUAGAAAAAAGGAAUAUUUUCUCUUACAAAGUGAAUAACAGUCUAUUGUUGAUAAAUUAUUUCAAAGAGAACAUAUUACAAUGUAAACUAUGUGAGCUUACCCAAGAAGUUAAACAACAUCCUUUAUACAAGCUGUUAAUGCUUAAGAGCUAAAGCAAUAAUCUUGUGUACUUAAAGUCAACAUUUAAAGCUAAAAUGUAGCCUAUUCAUCUCGAGGUGCCUCUUAUAAUAUUAAAACCCACACUUACCAUAUUUUCAAUUAUUCACAUGAAUGUCCUGCUAAAUUCUUCAAUUUGUCCUCUGUGGCCAUGAGAAGAACUACAUCAAUUUAAAAAGGGUCAAAAGUCAUUAAUGUUCAGCGUCCCAAUAAUAAUAGCAGCAAAAAUCCUUUAAGUGAAGUUCAUUUUUCUUGACCUAUAGUCUAAUGAAAAACAGGAGCAUCAGAGUGAAACGUCUGACUUUCCUGACGUAAGAGGGGGUGUUUUGUGGCGAUAUCAUCCAAGUUGUUUGGUAAAACAGUGAAAAUAGUUUCAAUAUAAAUGUUCAUAUAAACUACGGUGGCUUGAAUAACAUUAAAAAAAUUUGAACCAUUGCGAGGCGACUAUGUGAAUUGCCCAUGAAUCAGAAGUGAAGCUUUAUCUUACAUUUUUGCAUCUCUUCAUCUUUUUAUUUAAGAAAAUAAGAUAUUCAUAUUACACAAUCAUAACAAUGCAUAGAGUUGAAAGGUGUUUUUACUUUUCUGUCUGGUGACAGUCCAUGCGUCCAAAUAUUCAUUUUUCUUUGUGAGCCCCACAACAGAAUAGACUACACGUCUGAACAUUUCAAAAUACUUGAAAAACUUGUAAACACAACUGCAGAACAAUAUGAAAUGUAAAUUACAUAAUUUCCAUUUUUAUGUGUUGAGCGAAUUGUCUAACUCGUUAUUCAUUUUAAUCAGCAUCUUGAAAUGAAAUCUCUCAUUGGUUACGUUGUGAUCAUUGUGGACAGGUUACUGUCCUACCGAUUAAGCAAUAUAUCUCAUCAUAACACCAUAUGAUGCUUAAAAAUAUAAGAAAUAUCACAGUUUGCACUAUUCUAACAUCUUAUAUUUAUUAAUUAUAUGUUAUUUCUUUUGCAAGGAUUCAGUUUUGACAAAUUGUUGAAUGAGGCAUUUGUAUACCUAUUUUGUAAUACUCCACACAGCUUUGUAUCUAGUAUUUCCCAUCUGAUCUAUGAAGAUGUAUUUGCACUAGAAGGUAUUUUAUUAUGCACUUUUACACAUAAUAAUUCCACAGAAUAUUUUGGAGUGGAAGAAGUGGAUAUGAAAAUGUUUGCAUCCAUCAUUGUCAAUCAACGGUGUGUCAAAACACAAUAUUCCUAAAGCCUUUGUUCCGUCGUGUACUGAAUCAUGCCGAGGAAUGGAAAAGCUAACAGAGAAAUCCAACGCGCUUAAAUCCCUUUGUCUGACAUUCUGCUGCUCUGCAGAAACAACAAGUCAGCUAAUGGCUCUCUCCGUGUUUGUUGGUUUUGUCCGGUCGCGUUCCAGUGGUUCUUCCCCUCUGGAAAGAUGUCGGCUCUCGGCGCCCGGCCAUCCCUGAGGACGCUUGAUGUCAUCUCGUCUACCUGAUCAUUACACCACCUGCUCUUGUCUACAAUGCGGCCCUCUCUCUCGCUGCGGCGCCACUUGAGAUGCUUGGCUGGCCUCUUCUCUGAAACCGUCGCGAAAUCAGCCGCUUCCGACGCUUCCGACUGUUCCUCCUCCUCCUCCUCCUCCUCCACCUCCUCGUCCUCUCUCCUCCGUCCAGCCAUGUGUGCAGGAGCCAGAGAGAGAUGCCUCCGCUCGGACGACUGGUUCCCAGUCAAAGGGGAAAACACGCAGGACGCCCUUCAGCCACCUGCUACCCGCUCACCGCUUGGAUUUGAUUUAUUUAUUUUGCAGCAGUGGCCGAGCACAAUAGGAUGGAUGCUUACAGGUUAUUUAAACAAAAUGUACAGUAUUCACACUUUGGAACAAGUCACAGGAGUCACAGCAGCAAACACACAGAUACUGAAAUGAAUGACGGCUGAGUUUCAUCAGUCAUCGGUCCUAAUAUUGUGCCUAUCGGCUCCUUGUCACGGCUAGACGUCAGUAACAGCUGUCCUGUCCUGUCAAAUUAGUCGUGUGCGCUGUCAGGAGUCCCUGCUGGAACUCCCAAACAAUGGCACCAACGACGCAGAGUCUUCAUAACCAAACAUACCAUCUACCGUCAUUCAUGACAAUACCGAUUCACAUAAAUGCGGAAAUACUAACAUGUUGGUUCAUGUAAUAUAUAAACAUCUGCUGUGGAAUACCGUUUUUUCAGGGAAAAAAGGCCCACAGAUGUUGUUAUCCAAUCUAUUCUUGGAUAUAAGCUUCUUUUAUACACACCUUUUAUAUUGUGUUCACUGUAUAUUGGUAAGGUUGAUAAACAAGUUUGCCAAUUAACUUUGCAAACCAUUUUCUAACACCAACAACCCGAUGACUUUUUUGUCAGGCCGUCUGAGCACGGCUGCAGGGUCUCGGUCGGCGCCGUGCAGAGGAAACACACGCGGCGUCCUGCAGCUGGACAUGAAGCAGUGGGUCAAGUGUCUUGCUUAAGAGCACCUCAGUGGCAUCUGCAGAGGUCUCCUCCAACCAGGAGAGUUUCAUUCCCAGGGGCUCAUCCGGCCAUUUCAACUGCUCGCAGAUGAACUUCUGUUGGCCCGGUUCUUUUGUGCGCUUCAAAAUAAAAGUCCUUAAAUAACUGCUUUCAGAGUGGAAUACUCAAAUAAUAUGAUAAUAUAUAAUACAAUUAGUUAUUCGAAAUUGUGUAUUAUUUACUUACAUGUAAUGUAUUUAUUCGUUAAUCAAUAUAACUGCUUCAUUUACCUCCAUUCUUUAUUCCUUUCUAAGUAAUUAAUUUACAUUCUCCUUCCACUGGUUUGUUUGUUCUUUUUCAUAAUGUUAACACAUUUCAUAAACUACACAAAGUAUUCAUACAUUUUCUUGGUAUAAACAACGGUCAGACUCCCACUGACUAUGUUAAUGUGAGGAGGCUUUAAUGACGCAGGCUUCUACUACAUAUACUGCUGUGUGGGAUAAAUAACAAUGCAUUGGGGGUUUGGUUUUUAUAUCAUAUUCCAGGUAACCUAUUAAUGAUGUCACAUGACGAGUUUAAUGAGGAGUACAGUUUACGCCUUGUGGAAUUAUAAAGUGGCGUACUUGUAAACACACAAUUUAUUAAAAACAAACAAAUGUCAUGUGUUGAUACACACAGUUACAUCAAGUUGUGAUGAAAUAAAGAUUUAUAAAAUUA